GAUGAACGUUGGCGGUGUGCCUAAUACAUGCAAGUCGAACGGAGUUAAUAGCAAUAUUGACUUAGUGGCGAACGGGUGAGUAACGCGUUGGUGAUCUGCCUUGAAGUGUGGAAUAACGCUCCGAAAGGAGCGCUAAUACCGCAUGUGCUCUCAAUUUUUAGAAACUUGAGAGGAAAGGAUCUAUUCGCUUCGAGAGGAGCCUGCGUCCCAUCAGCUGGUUGGUAGGGUAAAGGCCUACCAAGGCAAUGACGGGUAGGGGACCUGAGAGGGUGGCCCCCCACAAUGGAACUGAAACACGGUCCAUACACCUACGGGUGGCAGCAGUAGGGAAUAUUAGAAAUGGACGAAAGUCUGAUCUAGCAACACCGCGUGUGCGAAGAAGGCCUUCGGGGUCGUAAAGCACUUUUUGGAAGGAAUAGGAAGGAAUGUACUUCCAGAAUAAAGUCUCGGCUAACUACGUG
rnacentral:rRNA from 1 species